AUGCGUGAUCAGGUCGGCAUCGACCUGGACGGCUUCCCCCUCGACCACGAGUUCCCGGACGACUAUGGGCUAGAGGAAGAGGACGAGUGCGACAACGAAGUGGAGCCUUUGUUCGAGGACGAGCUCGCCAACCAAACCGCCGGUCCUAAGCCGAAGCGCAAGAGCAAGCGCACGAAGGCGUACACAGCUGCGAGGACAAGCUUCUUUGCGAGUGUUGGCGAGACAUUGGACAAGACCCAAAGACGGGCGCCGAGCAAAAGCAUUCAACCUUUUGGACUCGUGUGCACCGCGAGUUUCAUGAGCGCAAAAGGUUUCCACCCUACCAAUUUGUGA
rnacentral:rRNA from 1 species